rnacentral:lncRNA from 1 species
UCCGAUGAUGGCAUGAUAUCUUUGAGACCUGAUAUUUUCAUAUUUUGAUGACAACUAUAAGCAUUUACGCUGAGGAUCCUUUACAAAUUAAAUUUGUUCAGCUUUUUUUUUUUUUUUUUUGUGGAAUUCGAGAUGAUGUUUGCACUGGGCUCUGAGAGCAGUUGAUUAAUUGCUUGAUUUGAUGCAUAAUGCAGCCUAGAAAGCUAGUCUGAUCGGCUAUUUUUUUGUUAUGAUUUUUUAAAUUUAUAAUUAUAAUUAGUUUUGUUUUUGGUUAUUUGAUUUUUGCUAUGAAGAUGGAACUUGCAUCCCAGCUCACUCUGAGACCUUGAUAUGUUUGAGGUUGUGGAUUAUAUUUAGUUCAUAUUUUAUCUGAGCUUUUAAUUUUGAUUAUUUAUUUUUGUUUUGAUUUGGUGUUUUGGUUCAAUGAUGAUGAAACUAUCUAAUCCCAGCUCUAUGAGAUCUUAAUUUGUUUAAGGUCAAGGAAUUACAUUGUUUAGUGUUUUAUCUGAGCCUUUUUUAGUUUUAAUUUCCCACAUUUGGUUUAAAUUUAUGAUUUUUGUUCAUACAAUUUUUUUUUUUACAAAAUUGAUUAGUUCCCGAUGAUGUACGAAUUUGACCAUGCUAAUUCUGAUAUUGAUGAAACAUUUUUCUGUCAUUUCUGAGGGGACA